AAAUUCUUUAUGUUGGGGCCCCUUUGUCCCGACUUGCAUUGCCCGUGGGAUUUCUUAUCGAAAUCCUUUGUGUCGGGAGCCUAACCCCAACUUGCAUUGCUCGUAGAAUUUCUUUUUGAAAUUCUCUAUGUUGAGGCCCCUAGUGUCUGAUUCGUAGUGAGAGUUCUUCUAGUUGUUUGUCUGAUACUU
rnacentral:ncRNA from 1 species